UGGUCCCCGCACCAGCGCAGCCGGCCGCAUCCUCGACGCCCACGAGUUCCUCUCCGUAGAACUUGACCUCUAGUGCUCCUACUACUCCACCCCGAAGAUCUCUCAUUCAAUCUCGAGCCACAGAUCGACCAUUCUGCCUCGGCCUCCCUGGUUGUCUGCGCUGCCUUGGCUGUAUAGCGGUGUGGUGCUGAUGUUGGCCUGGACUGGCAGUGGCCUCACGUCUGCAGGCUGCCGAUACGACACCUUGGUCACCGACAACACCCAUUCAGGCUGGCACAUCAAGUCUCUAAAUAGUCUGCACCGGGCCAAAAGACCUUCUGCCAUGUCUCUAGAGAAGAAAUAAAUGUGCUUAAUGCUUGUGUGAUGGAGGCAUGGAGCAAUCCGAACCCGCCUCCCCUGGCUUGAUCUACUGCCCUAUCAUGGAGUUGCGACCUGCUUUGACGCGAGGCGUAUUCGUAUAAGCAGCCUAAGCAUUAUAAUGUGCUAUUCACUUUCAAUAGUGUCGAACCGCAUCCCGGGAAACGGUUCCUGUAGACCAGAUGCAACUUCCUUGUGCAUGCCAGCUCCGUCAGCAUCUCCUUCUUCCAAGUUAGGAGUAAUGCAACAAGAACAAGUGCACAGGGGAGUCAGCAUGAUCAAGAGAAAAGAAAUCUCGUAUAUAGGCAUUGAUGCUACGACACUAUGUUUGAAGACAACUAUGUACAAAGGCAGGGUGAUGAUUUUGAGUUACAGAACUAUUAGUACUAGUGCACCUACAAAUUCAGUACCUUGUCAAGCUUUUGUCGCACAAACCAUAUUGCUUAGUUUUGUAUCACAAACCUGGUAUCUUUUUUCAUAGCUGCAUCUAUGUAUUUAACAUCAGAUAGUACAUGUUGGAACUCUGAGAGCCUGAAGUUCAUAUCAC